rnacentral:rRNA from 1 species
AGCGAACGCUGGCGGCAGGCCUAACACAUGCAAGUCGAACGAUCCUUCGGGAUAGUGGCGGACGGGUGAGUAACACGUGGGAACGUACCUUUAGGUUCGGGAUAACUCAGGGAAACUUGAGCUAAUACCGGAUAAGCCCUUUUGGGGAAAGAUUUAUCGCCUUUAGAGCGGCCCGCGUUAGAUUAGCUAGUUGGUGAGGUGAAGGCUCACCAAGGCUCCGAUCUAUAGCUGGUCUGAGAGGAUGAUCAGCCACACUGGGACUGAGACACGGCCCAGACUCCUACGGGAGGCAGCAGUGGGGAAUCUUGCGCAAUGGGCGAAAGCUUGACGCAGCCAUGCCGCGUGAAUGAUGAAGGUCUUAGGAUUGUAAAAUUCUUUUAGCAGGGACGAUAAUGACGGUACCUGCAGAAAAAGCCCCGGCUAACUUCGUGCCAGCCGCCGCAGUAAUAC